AUUGAACGCUGGCGGCAGGCCUAACACAUGCAAGUCGAGCGAGCGGCGGACGGGUGAGUAAUGUAUGGGGACUGCCCGAUAGAGGGGGAUAACUACUGGAAACGGUGGCUAAUACCGCAUACUAUCGGAUAACCCAUAUGGGAUUAGCUAGUAGGUGGGGUAAAGGCUCACCUAGGCGACGAUCUCUAGCUGGUCUGAGAGGAUGAUCAGCCAAACGGGGAAUGAGCCACGGGCCCAACUCCCACGGAGGGAGGAGUGGGGAAUUAUGCACAAUGGGCGCAAGCCUGAUUCAGCCAUGCCGCGUGUGUGAAGAAGGCCUUCGGGUUUUAAAGCACUUUCAGCGAGGAGGCGUUACUCUCAGAAGAAACACCGGCCUACUCCGUUCCAGCAGCCGCGGUAAUAC
rnacentral:rRNA from 1 species